AAGUCGUAACAAGGUAACCGUAGGUGAACCUGCGGUUGGAUCAUUAACAAUGGUUUUCAAACCUUUAUUCUGUGCACUGUAUUGUUCUUGGUGUUUUCCGCCUCUUUCUUUGGAGAGGGGCGGAAGCACCGACAUUUUUAAACCAUGUAUUGUAUCGAGUCUUGAAUUUGUAUUAAAAUGAAAAACUUUUGACAACGGAUCUCUUGGCUCUC
rnacentral:misc_RNA from 1 species